UAGGAAAUGCAAGGUCCGGAUGGCACC
rnacentral:piRNA from 1 species